rnacentral:rRNA from 1 species
AUUGAACGCUGGCGGCAGGCUUAACACAUGCAAGUCGAGCGGGGGAGGUUGCUUCGGUAACUGACCUAGCGGCGGACGGGUGAGUAAUGCUUAGGAAUCUGCCUAUUAGUGGGGGACAACAUUCCGAAAGGAAUGCUAAUACCGCAUACGCCCUACGGGGGAAAGCAGGGGAUCUUCGGACCUUGCGCUAAUAGAUGAGCCUAAGUCGGAUUAGCUAGUUGGUGGGGUAAAGGCCUACCAAGGCGACGAUCUGUAGCGGGUCUGAGAGGAUGAUCCGCCACACUGGGACUGAGACACGGCCCAGACUCCUACGGGAGGCAGCAGUGGGGAAUAUUGGACAAUGGGCGGAAGCCUGAUCCAGCCAUGCCGCGUGUGUAAAGAAGGCCUUUUGGUUGUAAAGCACUUUAAGCGAGGAGGAGGCUACUGGUAUUAAUACUACCGGAUAGUGGACGUUACUCGCAGAAUAAGCACCGGCUAACUCUGUGCCAGCCGCCGCGGUAA